AGAGCUGUCUUGAUCAACUAAUUGAUGGCUUGUCCCACUAUGGAGUUUUAUCACUCUUGAGAGAGAACCCCAGCUUGCGUGUGCUGCUUGACAUACCAGGAGAGGACAAAGGUCAAGAAGCUGAUUUUGUAGCUGGUAUUCUCAAACCAAGCUACUCUGCACUGGGGAGCAACAGAAGAGCUAAAGAGGAGUUGAUGAUGGUCAAAUUUAGGGAGUUUCUACAAUGUGUUGAAAGUAAAGAGCUGAGAGACACAUAUGGGGACAGGACUCUAACAAACGAUGAGGAGGCAUUCCUGAAGACUUUGAGCCCUGGUCACAUCCUGGCAUUUGCUACAGGGAGCAGCAAAGUCCCAGCCAUUGGUUUUCAUCCAACUCCUAAGUUAAUAUGUAUUC